GACGAACGCUGGCGGCGUGCUUAACACAUGCAAGUCGAACGGUGAAGCGCCUUCCUUUUUGGUGGGUGUGGAUGAGUGGCGAACGGGUGAGUAACACGUGAGUAACCUGCCCCCUUCUUCUGGAUAACCGCAUGAAAGUGUGGCUAAUACGGGAUAUUCUGGGUCUGUCGCAUGAUGGGUCUGGGAAAGAUAUUGUUUCGGUGGGGGAUGGGCUCGCGGCCUAUCAGCUUGUUGGUGGGGUGAUGGCCUACCAAGGCGGUGACGGGUAGCCGGCCUGGGAGGAUGGGCGGUCAGAGAGGGAGUGAAACAGGGCGAAGACUCAUACGGGAAGCAGCCGUGGAGAGUAGUGCACAGUGGGCAGAAGGAUGAAGCAACAACGCGGCGGGGUGGAUGGAGGCCUGCGGGUUGUGAACCUCUUUCGCGAGAGAAACAGGCCUGCCUCGUUUAUAGGUGGGUUGACGGUAGCUGGAUAAGAAGCGCCGGCUAACUACGUG
rnacentral:rRNA from 1 species